AUUCGGCUUUCCACACUCUCAAGUUUAGCCUCUGACAUCUUACCUUUCUUGCUCAUGGUUUCCUUAACUAUGUAUACAUCCCUUAAAUGAACAUGAAAUGAUCAUAAGCCUUCAUAUUGCUACAGGCAGCUUGAAUACAGUCUCCAGGGUGUUACCCAGAGACUGUGGGGUCAUUUCCAUUCUGUAUCUCCAAGAUCUCAUAAGCUAAAAUAGAACAGAUUGAGCGUUCACUCACCAACAACAGAAAAUUUGGGUCAACUUUGGCCACUCUCUCCACACCAAUUCUAUCAUUGCUACUGCAAAACCAAAAUAUCCAGUGAAUGCCAUUACAGCAUUAGAAAUGAGUAGGCUUUUUCCUAGCCCUUCUGAACUAUGGCUAUUGCUACGUCCAAGACAGUGAGCCUGGUCACUUCUCUUCCUGCAGAAUAUGCCUCGCCGGAGGGUCAGCGUUGCUGUGGUUCCUAAGUUUAAUGCCCUGAAUUUGCCUGGCCAAACUCCCAGCUCAUCAUCCAUUCCCUCCUUACCAGCCUUGUCGGAAUCACCCAAUGGGAAAGGCAGCCUACCUGUCA
rnacentral:sRNA from 1 species